rnacentral:misc_RNA from 1 species
GAAAUGCGAUAAGUAGUGUGAAUUGCAGAAUUCAGUGAAUCAUCGAAUCCUUGAACGCACAUUGCGCCCUUUGGUAUUCCUUAGGGCAUGCCUGUUCGAGCGUCAUCUAAACCUUCAAGCCCUGCUUGGUGUUGGGUGCCUGUCCCGCCUCCGCGCGCGGACUCACCUCAAAUCCAUUGGCGGCCCCCGCGUCGGCCACGAGCGCAGCAGAAACGCGAACUCGUGAGCCCGUCCGGGCGGCUCCCAGAAGCUACACCCACCCAGUUUGACCUCGGAUCAGGUAGGGAUACCCGCUGAACUUAAGC